UACGUAGGGCGCAAGCGUUAUCCGGAAUUAUUGGGCGUAAAGAGCUCGUAGGCGGUUUGUCGCGUCUGCCGUGAAAGUCCGGGGCUCAACUCCGGAUCUGCGGUGGGUACGGGCAGACUAGAGUGAUGUAGGGGAGACUGGAAUUCCUGGUGUAGCGGUGAAAUGCGUACGAUAUCAGGAGGAACACCGUGUGAGAGGCUCUGGCAUAACUGACGCU
rnacentral:rRNA from 1 species